rnacentral:tRNA from 1 species
AACUGGUGGGCUCAAUCAGUAGAGCAUGUGACUCUUGAUCUCAGGGUGGUGGGUUCCAGCCCCACAUUGGGUG